ACGUAGGGGGCAAGCGUUGUCCGGAAUUAUUGGGCGUAAAGCGCGCGCAGGCGGUUUCUUAAGUCUGGUGUGAAAGCCCGCAGCUCAACUGCGGAGGGCCACUGGAAACUGGGAAGCUUGAGUGUAGGAGAGGAGAGCGGAAUUCCACGUGUAGCGGUGAAAUGCGUAGAGAUGUGGAGGAACACCUGUGGCGAAAGCGGCUCUCUGGCCUAUAACUGACGCUGAGGCGCGAAAGCGUGGGGAGCAAACAGGA
rnacentral:rRNA from 1 species